CAGCAGCCGCGGGAAAACAGAGGGUGCGAGCGUUAAUCGGAUUUACUGGGCGUAAAGCGUGCGUAGGCGGCUUCUUAAGUCGGAUGUGAAAUCCCUGAGCUUAACUUAGGAAUUGCAUUCGAUACUGGGAAGCUAGAGUAUGGGAGAGGAUGGUAGAAUUCCAGGUGUAGCGGUGAAAUGCGUAGAGAUCUGGAGGAAUACCGAUGGCGAAGGCAGCCAUCUGGCCUAAUACUGACGCUGAGGUACGAAAGCAUGGGGAGCAAACAGGAUUAGAUACCCCUGUAGUCCCUGUCUCUUAUAC
rnacentral:rRNA from 1 species